UACGGAGGAUGCAAGCGUUAUCCGGAAUGAUUGGGCGUAAAGCGUCCGCAGGGGGCUAUGUAAGUCUGCUGUUAAAGAGCAAAGCUUAACUUUGUAAAAGCAGUGGAAACUACAUAGCUAGAGUGCGUUCGGGGCAGAGGGAAUUCCUGGUGUAGCGGUGAAAUGCGUAGAGAUCAGGAAGAACACCGGUGGCGAAGGCGCUCUGCUAGGCCGCAACUGACACUGAGGGACGAAAGCUAGGGGAGCGAAUGGG
rnacentral:rRNA from 1 species